rnacentral:rRNA from 1 species
UACAGAGGUCUCAAGCGUUGUUCGGAUUCAUUGGGCGUAAAGGGUGUGUAGGUGGCGCGCUAAGUCGGGUGUGAAAUUUCGGAGCUUAACUCCGAAACUGCAUUCGAUACUGGCGUGCUUGAGGACUGGAGAGGAGACUGGAAUUCAUGGUGUAGCAGUGAAAUGCGUAGAGAUCAUGAGGAAGACCAGUGGCGAAGGCGGGUCUCUGGACAGUUCCUGACACUGAGACACGAAGGCUAGGGGGAGCAAAACGGGG